UGCUUUGGUGUUUUUAGUGUAAUUUGCGGACCCACGCUGAUCCAUCCCGAACUCAGCAGUGAAACGCUAUAAAUCGAUGACAAUACUUGGAGGGGGACCUCCUGGGAAGA
rnacentral:rRNA from 1 species